AGUGAACGCUGGCGGUAGGCCUAACACAUGCAAGUCGAACGGCAGCACAGUAAGAGCUUGCUCUUACGGGUGGCGAGUGGCGGACGGGUGAGGAAUACAUCGGAAUCUACUUUUUCGUGGGGGAUAACGUAGGGAAACUUACGCUAAUACCACAUACGACCUACGGGUGAAAGCAGGGGAUCUUCGGACCUUGCGCGAUUGAAUGAGCCGAUGUCGGAUUAGCUAGUUGGCGGGGUAAAGGCCCACCAAGGCGACGAUCCGUAGCUGGUCUGAGAGGAUGAUCAGCCACACUGGAACUGAGACACGGUCCAGACUCCUACGGGAGGCAGCAGUGGGGAAUAUUGGACAAUGGGCGCAAGCCUGAUCCAGCCAUACCGCGUGGGUGAAGAAGGCCUUCGGGUUGUAAAGCCCUUUUGUCGGGAAAGAAAAGCAGCAGGUUAAUACCCCGCUGUUCUGACGGUACCCAAAGAAUAAGCACCGGCUAACUUCGUG
rnacentral:rRNA from 1 species